CUAUAAUAUUAUGUACAGUACAAUGACUGUAUCAGCCCCUCUCUGAAUUUGUAUUUAAUAAUUAUCACCUCACCAGUUAAUCAUCAAUUAGUGAUCUACUACUGUAUUCUUCUCCUCUGCUCUUGACUCUCGUAUUAUUUUUAUUCUUAACUAUUCUUGUUCUUGCUCAUCUACUUUGAAAUCCUUGCAUCUCUGUAUGAGUGAGAAAGACAGGAUCAAAUUUUUCCUCAGUCCCAUUCUCAAAUAUCUUAGUCCUGAUCCCAUAUAGUGUGUAUCAAAUCAGUCACUUUACAUGAUUUAUAUUAUAAUUCUAGUCCCAGAUCAUGUUUUAGUUAUAAAUUAUCAGUUCUGGUCCCAUUUGGUCCCAUUUUACAAAAUGGGACCAAACGGGACCAUGAUUUACCCUAUAUAGAUUGGCAGUGAUAGAUAGAUUAGCAGCGAUAGCUAGCUUAGCAGUGAUAGAUAGCUUAGCAGUGAUAGAU
rnacentral:sRNA from 1 species